CCGCUCCUAGCUCAACUGGAUAGAGCAUCGGGCUUCGAACCCGAAGGUUGCAGGUUCGAACCCUGCGGAGCGGGCCA
rnacentral:tRNA from 1 species